GCCCUCGUAGUCUAGCCUGGAUAGGACGCAGGGUUCCGGACCCUGAAACCGGGGUUCAAAUCCUCGCGAGGGCG
rnacentral:tRNA from 3 species